rnacentral:lncRNA from 1 species
UUUGCUUUUGUUGUAUUUUUGUUGGAAAGAAAAAGAAUCAUUGCAUAACAAAUAGGAAUAUGAAGAUAUAGGGAGCCAAAGAGAAAUCAUUUAAAGUUCUACAAUAAAUGCAACCCUAGAUCUAUGAUUUUUUUUAUUGCUUAUGCCAAUAGUGCAAGUUGACUCAACCACACAAACAACGUAACAUGUUCAAUUAGCAAAUACUACAAUAUGUCCAAAUCCUGCCCAUAGUAUCG